rnacentral:rRNA from 1 species
AUGCGCAUGCACAGGUGGACUGGCGGAGGAGGGGGAGAGAAGAUCCUGCAUGCGGUGUUCGUGCAGUCCUGGUUCAAGGAGAUCAAGGGCGUCAAGAGGCCGCUCGACCAGGCCACGCAGAAGCACUGCUCCUUUGGGUUCUUCACGUUCCUGGAGCGCGAGAACACCGCCACCGCCAUGGACAACAUGGAUGGCGCUGAGUUCUUCGGCCGCGUCCUCACCGUGAACUACACCUUCCCCGAGAAAAUCAAGGGAGGGGAGCAGGGAUGGGCCGCGCAGCCAGGUAUGUCAUGUGUCCCGUGCUUCUCCUCUGUUCAAUUACGUUACGCUCUGCUUUCGUGCUUGCGUACCUGGUUGCUUGACACUAGGGUUAGGGCUGCCAAAUGUUUUUCUUACCUGGUAUGA